rnacentral:lncRNA from 1 species
CCCUAUCCCCACAAGAACCAUAUGGAAAAAGAGCAGUCAGAUCCCCACUUACCUGUUCUUGUACCUCCCUUCCUCCCUCGUGUUUUCCUUCAUUCUCCACCAGAGGCGAGGGGCUUGGACCUGGUGGGGGAAGAUCCCCAGGGGAUUUGUGACUCUCCUGUCCCUUGGCCUUACUUGAUCCUAGGUUGUUCAGUUUUCCGCACAACCCAAGCAUCCCUGAAGCACAAGUGUCAGGGGUUACUAUUGACCAAUAGCAGUGGAGUGGGGGUCUAAUCUUUAUUUUAGGGGGCUUGUGUUGGAAGAGCCUAGACUGUUAGGCCUGGUGGGGUUGCUGGAAG